CAGGAAGCAGCUUGCUGCUUUGCUGACGAGUGGCGGACGGGUGAGUAAUGUCUGGGAAACUGCCUGAUGGAGGGGGAUAACUACUGGAAACGGUAGCUAAUACCGCAUAACGUCGCAAGACCAAAGAGGGGGACCUUCGGGCCUCUUGCCAUCAGAUGUGCCCAGAUGGGAUUAGCUAGUAGGUGGGGUAACGGCUCACCUAGGCGACGAUCCCUAGCUGGUCUGAGAGGAUGACCAGCCACACUGGAACUGAGACACGGUCCAGACUCCUACGGGAGGCAGCAGUGGGGAAUAUUGCACAAUGGGCGCAAGCCUGAUGCAGCCAUGCCGCGUGUAUGAAGAAGGCCUUCGGGUUGUAAAGUACUUUCAGCGGGGAGGAAGGCGAUGCGGUUAAUAACCGCGUCGAUUGACGUUACCCGCAGAAGAAGCACCGGCUAACUCCGUGCCAGCAGCCGCGGUAAUACGGAGGGUGCAAGCGUUAAUCGGAAUUACUGGGCGUAAAGCGCACGCAGGCGGUCUGUCAAGUCGGAUGUGAAAUCCCCGGGCUCAACCUGGGAACUGCAUCCGAAACUGGCAGGCUUGAGUCUCGUAGAGGGGGGUAGAAUUCCAGGUGUAGCGGUGAAAUGCGUAGAGAUCUGGAGGAAUACCGGUGGCGAAGGCGGCCCCCUGGACGAAGACUGAC
rnacentral:rRNA from 1 species